AUAUCAAUCGCGAUUGAUUUACGGGUCAUUUUAAUCUUCUCCUCAAAAUAUCAG
rnacentral:sRNA from 1 species